rnacentral:rRNA from 1 species
GACAGAGGGGGCAAGCGUUGCUCGGAAUUACUGGGCGUAAAGGGCGCGUAGGCGGGAUGGCAAGUCGGUCGUGAAAUGCCUCGGCUCAACUGAGGAUCGUCGAUCGAUACUGCCGUUCUUGAGGAUUGCAGAGGAGACUGGAAUUCCCGGUGUAGCGGUGAAAUGUGUAGAGAUCGGGAGGAACACCGGUGGCGAAGGCGGGUCUCUGGGCAAUUCCUGACGCUGAGGCGCGAAAGCGUGGGGAGCAAACGGG